UUGGAACUGAGACACGGUCCAAACUCCUACGGGAGGCAGCAGUGAGGAAUAUUGGUCAAUGGACGAGAGUCUGAACCAGCCAAGUAGCGUGAAGGAUGACUGCCCUAUGGGUUGUAAACUUCUUUUAUACGGGAAUAAAGUGAGGCACGUGUGCCUUUUUGUAUGUACCGUAUGAAUAAGGAUCGGCUAACUCCGUGCCAGCAGCCGCGGUAAUACGGAGGAUCCGAGCGUUAUCCGGAUUUAUUGGGUUUAAAGGGAGCGUAGGCGGACGCUUAAGUCAGUUGUGAAAGUUUGCGGCUCAACCGUAAAAUUGCAGUUGAUACUGGGUGUCUUGAGUACAGUAGAGGCAGGCGGAAUUCGUGGUGUAGCGGUGAAAUGCUUAGAUAUCACGAAGAACUCCGAUUGCGAAGGCAGCUUGCUGGACUGUAACUGACGCUGAUGCUCGAAAGUGUGGGUAUCAAACAGGAUUAGAUACCCUGGUAGUCCACACAGUAAACGAUGAAUACUCGCUGUUUGCGAUAUACAGUAAGCGGCCAAGCGAAAGCGUUAAGUAUUCCACCUGGGGAGUACGCCGGCAACGGUGAAACUCAAAGGAAUUGACGGGGGCCCGCACAAGCGGA
rnacentral:rRNA from 1 species